GACGAACCGUCCGAACGUUAUUCGGAAUCACUGGGCUUAAAGGGUGCGUAGGCGGCGCGGAAAGUUGGGUGUGAAAUCCCUCGGCUCAACCGGGGAACUGCGCCCAAAACUACCGUGCUCGAGGGAGAUAGAGGUGAGCGGAACUUAGGGUGGAGCGGUGAAAUGCGUUGAUAUCCUAAGGAACACCGGUGGCGAAAGCGGCUCACUGGAUCUCUUCUGACGCUGAGGCACGAAAGCUAGGGUAGCGAACGGG
rnacentral:rRNA from 1 species